rnacentral:rRNA from 1 species
GAUGAACGCUGGCGGCGUGCCUAAUACAUGCAAGCCGAGCGAACAGACGAGGAGCUUGCUCCUCUGACGUUAGCGGCGGACGGGUGAGUAACACGUGGAUAACCUACCUAUAAGACUGGGAUAACUUCGGGAAACCGGAGCUAAUACCGGAUAAUAUAUUGAACCGCAUGGUUCAAUAGUGAAAGACGGUUUUGCUGUCACUUAUAGAUGGAUCCGCGCCGCAUUAGCUAGUUGGUAAGGUAACGGCUUACCAAGGCAACGAUGCGUAGCCGACCUGAGAGGGUGAUCGGCCACACUGGAACUGAGACACGGUCCAGACUCCUACGGGAGGCAGCAGUAGGGAAUCUUCCGCAAUGGGCGAAAGCUUGACGGAGCAACGCCGCGUGAGUGAUGAAGGUCUUCGGAUCGUAAAACUCUGUUAUUAGGGAAGAACAAAUGUGUAAGUAACUAUGCACGUCUUGACGGUACCUAAUCAGAAAACCACGGCUAACUACGU